GGAGGGCGGCACAGUGUGCACUGGGAGGGAAGGCCAUCGAGUUCCUGCUGAACCACUCAACAGCUUAAAAUACAACCAGCCCCUCUCCCUACUGGGCCAGCUGCCGGGGAGGGCUGAAACCCUAGCCUCUCCCCCAGCUGGGGCACUGCAGCCAGGCCAGGAGCCGUGGUGCACCAACUGGUGGGCAGCAGGAGAGCGCAUGGAGAGGGGCCACGGUGAAGAGCAAUCCCAAGCCACAAGCUGAGGGACUGCCUGCAGCAGAGGAAGACUCAGGCAAGCCAGGAAGCUUAAAGAAGUCAGAGACCCUGAGGAUGAACUGACUAGAGGUGUUCGACGGCCACUGUCCAUUAUGCCCGCCCCUGGCUCCACUCAAGCCGGCAGGCAGAAAUUGGUUCUCUCCUGCCACCUUGUGGGGUGAAGGGAUCAAAUUCAGGUAAGCCUCAAAGACGCAUCUCUACCUGAUGAACUGUCUCACUAUCUCCGAGGCUUCUGAGACGGGGAGGUUUCCCAGUGGACUGAGGUGCAAGAGGGCAAAGGAUCGACUCAGUCCUUCAAAGGCUGGAGAGAUGGUUUAGCGGGUUAAGAGCACUGACUGCUC